rnacentral:rRNA from 1 species
UACGUAGGGUGCAAGCGUUGUCCGGAAUUAUUGGGCGUAAAGAGCUCGUAGGCGGUCUGUCGCGUCGGAUGUGAAAACCCGGGGCUUAACCCCGGGCCUGCAUUCGAUACGGGCAGACUCGAGUGUGGUAGGGGAGACUGGAACUCCUGGUGUAGCGGUGAAAUGCGCAGAUAUCAGGAGGAACACCGGUGGCGAAGGCGGGUCUCUGGGCAGUAACUGACGCUGAGGAGCGAAAGCGUGGGGAGCGAACAGG